GGCGCUUCCGGGCCCGUGUUCUCUUUGGCCCUCGGGGAAUCCAAAGGUGCGGUGCUUACGGCCAGACCGUAAGGCAGCGGUCCUAGAUGAAACUCACAUGUCCCUGCUAAACUACGCUGUAGGAGUGACAACCCUUUUCCUGUCAACCCUCACUCCUUAUUCCAAUGAUCACAGAGAACAGAUCAGCAAGCUCAUCAGCAGGUAUCCAACCACGGACUGAGAUGCAGUCUCUCCUUGCCAACCCAUCAAUUUCUAUGAGUGGUUCUCUCGGAGACCCCUCACUCCGGGGAGUGUGCCUACACCUGUGAAGGACCAUGGUAUUAUCACUAUUUCAGCCUGACAACCCCACCACAUGCGAUCACGAAUUGGCUCACUUGAUGACGGAGGCCCAGAAGUCUCAUGCUUUGCCAUCUGCAAGCUGGAGAUCCAGGGAAGCUGGUGGUUUAAUCCAGUCCAAAUCCAAAAGCCUGAGAACCAGGAGCACUGAUGUCUACGAGCAGGAGAAGAUUGAUGUCCCAACUUAAACAGAGAAUAAAUUCUCUCUUCCUCUACGUUUUUGUUCUAUUCAGACCCUCAGUGGAUUGGAUAAGCCGACCUGCAUUGGUGAAAGCAAUCUUCUUUAUUUUUGUCUACCAAUUCAAAUGUUAAUCUCUUCUGGAAACGCCCUCACAGACUUAUGCAGAAAAUUUGUUGACCCAUAUCUAGG